AUAAUACCCUAUAUUAAUAUUUUGAUUUAUUUCCUUUUAUUAGCUUUUGUUUUCUGUUUCGGAAAAAGAGUUUUAAAAUAGGAAAGUUUUAGUCGCCGCCCCGAGCGCAUUAUAGGGCCUUGGGCCGAAUCCCCCGCCGCCAGGGACGAAUCCCUUAAUAGCCGACCGCCCUUCCCGACCUCCACCGCCUCCCUCUCUAUGACCGGCGGACCCCACCGACCAACCCCUCCACCCCGCAGCCACCUUCUUCUUCCUCCUUCCAAAGCUACUGCCC
rnacentral:lncRNA from 1 species